rnacentral:rRNA from 1 species
UACCAGCUCUCCGAGUGGUAGGGAUGAUUAUUGGGCUUAAAGCGUCCGUAGCCGGCUUAGCAAGUCUCCUGUUAAAUUCAGCGACCUAAUCGUUGAGCCGCGGGAGAUACCACUAGGCUAGGAGGCGGGAGAGGUCGACGGUACUUCUGGGGUAGGGGUGAAAUCCUAUAAUCCCGGGAGGACCACCAGUGGCGAAGGCUGUCGACUAGAACGCGCUCGACGGUGAGGGACGAAAGCUGGGGGAGCGAACCGGAUUAGAUACCCGGGUAGUCCCAGCUGUAAACGAUGCGGGCUAGGUGUUGGGGUGGCUACGUGCCACUUCAGUGCCGCAGGGAAGCCAUUAAGCCCGCCGCCUGGGGAGUACGGCCGCAAGGCUGAAACUUAAAGGAAUUGGCGGGGGAGCACCACAAGGCGUGAAGCUUGCGGUUC